AGUGAACGCUGGCGGUAGGCCUAACACAUGCAAGUCGAACGGCAGCACAGGAGAGCUUGCUCUCUGGGUGGCGAGUGGCGGACGGGUGAGGAAUACAUCGGAAUCUACUCUGUCGUGGGGGAUAACGUAGGGAAACUUACGCUAAUACCGCAUGCGACCUACGGGUGAAAGCAGGGGACCUUCGGGCCUUGCGCGAUUGAAUGAGCCGAUGUCGGAUUAGCUAGUUGGCGGGGUAAGGGCCCACCAAGGCGACGAUCCGUAGCUGGUCUGAGGGGCUGAUCAGCUACACGGGAACUGGGACACGGUCCAGACUCCUACGGGAGGCAGCAGUGGGGAAUAUUGGACAAUGGGCGCAAGCCUGAUCCAGCCGUACCGCGUGGGUGAAGAAGGCCUUCGGGUUGUAAAGCCCUUUUGUUGGGAAAGAAAUCCAGCUGGCUAAUACCCGGUUGGGAUGACGGUACCCAAAGAAUAAGCACCGGCUAACUUCGUGCCAGCCGCCGCCGUAA
rnacentral:rRNA from 1 species